CCUACGGGAGGCUGCAGUGGGGAAUAUUGGACAAUGGGCGAAAGCCUGAUCCAGCCAUGCCGCGUGUGUGAAGAAGGCCUUCGGGUUGUAAAGCACUUUCAGUGGGGAAGAAAGCCUUGGGGCUAAUACCCUCGGGGAAGGACAUCACCCACAGAAGAAGCACCGGCUAACUCCGUGCCAGCAGCCGCGGUAAUACGGAGGGUGCGAGCGUUAAUCGGAAUUACUGGGCGUAAAGCGCGCGUAGGCGGUCUGAUAAGCCGGUUGUGAAAGCCCCGGGCUCAACCUGGGAACGGCAUCCGGAACUGUCAGGCUAGAGUGCAGGAGAGGAAGGUAGAAUUCCCGGUGUAGCGGUGAAAUGCGUAGAGAUCGGGAGGAAUACCAGUGGCGAAGGCAGCCUUCUGGACUGACACUGACGCUGAGGUGCGAAAGCGUGGGUAGCAAACAGGAUUAGAUACCCCUGUAGUC
rnacentral:rRNA from 1 species